AUUGAACGCUGGCGGCAGGCCUAACACAUGCAAGUCGAGCGGAGCGCAGGACGGGUGAGGAAUGCCUAGGAAUCUGCCUGGUCGUGGGGGAUGACGUCCAGAAACGGACGCUAAUACCGCAUACUAACAGCUUAGCCUAAGCCCGAUUAGCUAGUUGGUGGGGUAAAGGCCUACAAAGGCGACGAUCCCUAACUGGUCUGAGAGUAUGAUCAGUCACACGGGAACUGAGACACGGUCCGGACUCCUACGGGAGGCAGAAGUGGGGAAUAUUGCACAAUGGGCGAAAGCCUGAUCCAGCCAUGCCGCGUGUAUGAAGAAGGUCUUCGGAUUGUAAAGCACUUUAAGUUAGGAGGCGUUACCAACAGAAUAAGCACCGGCUAACUCCGUGCCAGCAGCCGCGGUAAUAC
rnacentral:rRNA from 1 species